UCUCCGUUGGUGAACCAGCGGAGGGAUCAUUAUCGAGUUUGUAACUCCCAAACCCUAUGUGAACUUACCACUUGUUGCUUCGGCGCGCGCUUCGGCGCCGCCGAGGACACUUAAACUCUUUGUUUUUAUAAGCAUUUCUGAGUGGCCGAAAGGCAAAAUACAAAUGAAUCAAAACUUUCAACAACGGAUCUCUUGGUUCCG
rnacentral:misc_RNA from 1 species